rnacentral:rRNA from 1 species
AUGGCGACCGGCGCACGGGUGAGUAACACGUAUCCAACCUGCCGAUAACUCGGGGAUAGCCUUUCGAAAGAAAGAUUAAUACCCGAUAGCAUAAUGAUUCCGCAUGGUUUCAUUAUUAAAGGAUCCGGUAAAGGAUGGGGAUGCGUUCCAUUAGGUUGUUGGUGAGGUAACGGCUCACCAAGCCUUCGAUGGAUAGGGGUUCUGAGAGGAAGGUCCCCCACAUUGGAACUGAGACACGGUCCAA